GAGGUCAGGGUUCGGUCCCGGGCACGCAUUUCUAUUUUUUCGGAAUUAUGUGCGUUUUAAGCAAUUAAACAUUACUAGCUGUAACGGUGAAGGAGAACAUUGUGAGGAAACCUGCAUGCCUGAGAAUUCCCAUAAUGUUCUCAA